rnacentral:rRNA from 1 species
CAGUCGCCACGGUAAAACGAAGGGUGCAAGCGUUACUCGGAAUUACUGGGCGUAAAGCGUGCGUAGGUGGUGGUUUAAGUCCGUUGUGAAAGCCCUGGGCUCAACCUGGGAAUUGCAGUGGAUACUGGGUCACUAGAGUGUGGUAGAGGAUAGUGGAAUUUCCGGUGUAGCAGUGAAAUGCGUAGAGAUCGGAAGGAACAUCUGUGGCGAAGGCGACUAUCUGGGCCAACACUGACACUGAGGCACGAAAGCGUGGGGAGCAAACAGGAUUAGAUACCCGAGUAGUCCCUGUCUCUUAUAC